rnacentral:rRNA from 1 species
UACGUAGGGGGCAAGCGUUGUCCGGAAUUACUGGGCGUAAAGCGCGCGCAGGCGGCUAUCCAAGUCAGUGGUGAAAGCCCGGAGCUCAACUCCGGAACUGCCAUUGAAACUGUUUAGCUUGAGGAUGAGAGAGGUGAGUGGAAUUCCCAGUGUAGAGGUGAAAUUCGUAGAUAUUAGGAAGAACACCAGUGGCGAAGGCGGCUCACUGGUCCGGUACUGACGCUGAGGUGCGAAAGCGUGGGGAGCAAACAGG